GGUAUCAUCUUCACUUCCCUUAUAAGUGAGAAACAAAGCGAAAGCAUAAGAUGAUGAGUACUCGAGAGCAAGAGCUGGCUGGAGAAAGGACAGGGAGUGAAGGGAAAUUUAUGAGAUUCUAGAAUGGGAUUUCAUAAUGACUAUCAUGCAUAUACAAAUCAUAUUGAAUAUACGAAAGCAGCGGAAGCAUUUAUAACAUAUUAUCAAAGCUAUAGUCAUGCAAAUCCCCUGCAAGGUUCAUAGGUUUAUAUAUAAUGCAUCAAAACAUUUUAAAGAAUCAAGAACAAAGUGAAGGUUAGUCUUAUACCUCUUGAUCUAAACUUGAGACCAAGGAUGGACCACCUCCAAGCCCUUUGCUCCUUGAAAUCCUUGAGCCUAGCUUCCCUCCUU
rnacentral:lncRNA from 1 species